rnacentral:tRNA from 3 species
GGGCGGCUAACUCAGUGGUUAGAGUGCUAUCUUCACACGGUAGAAGUCACUGGUUCGAAUCCAGUGCCGCCCAC